CCAAAGUAUUUCAGCUCAGAAUGGUCAGUGGCCAAAUUUCACUUGCAGGAAGGUCUGCAACAUAUUGUUGCCUUUGGCAAGCGGAAGAAUACCAUCAUGAUCAUUGGCAUGGAUGGAAGCAGAAAAUGAUGCAAAAAAUGAAGAUGCUGAUAUUGAGGGGCUCAUCAAAGCAGUUGCAGAUUAGGUCGCCAAGUAGUUGUCAGUGGAACAGCAGUUGGAAUGAUAUCUAGGAAUAAUUUUAUAUCAGCUUUUGAUUCAAGUGUACGCAGCUAGGAAUGAUUUCUUGUUUGGUACAUUAUCUAGUUACUUGAAUGUAUGGAUGUUUGAAAAAUGGUAAUGGAAUGAUAUGAAUUAGAGUA